rnacentral:rRNA from 1 species
UACUAUGAACAUGUCUGAUAUAGACUAAUGUCUGUUCUCUAAGGCUAAUCCAGGUAGGGCCUGGUUAGUACUUGGAUGGGAGAAUGCUUGGGAAUACUAGGUUUGAUAGGCU